GCUAUUGAUAGUAAAUAUUCGGUCAAACGGUCAGCGCGAUCUCAAACAGAAGCGCUUGAAACAGUCACUGAC
rnacentral:sRNA from 1 species